rnacentral:lncRNA from 12 species
CCCCCCCCCCCCCCCCCCCCCCCAGGAAGGUGCGCUGGCCCUUUAAGGGAACGGGCGGGGCCUCGGGAGGGGGCGUGGUUUAAUGAAAAAUGGGGCGGGGUUUAAGGGAAAGGAGGUGAGGUUUCAUUUAGGGGACCAAAAAGGUGCGCCGGCCCUUUAAGAGAAGGGGUGGAGCCUGAGCAGGGGCGUGGCUUUGUGCAAAAACGGGUGGGAUUAAAAUGAGCGGUGGAUAAGGGGUGGGUCUUAAUUGGGUGUGGUUAAAAUGGGUGGGGCUUAAGUGGGUGUGGCCAAAGCAGAUGUAGGUAACUUGAAUGUGGUCAGGCAGGUGGGGCCUAAAGGGGUGUGGCUUAAUUGGGUGGGGCUCAAGGGGGUGUGGCUUAAUGGGAUGAUGUCAGCAUGGGUGGGGCUUAAUUUGGUAUGGUCAAAGUGGGUGUGGCUUGAUUGGGUGUGGUCAGAUUAAUUUUAGUCAAAAGGGGUGUGGCUUAAUUGGGUGUGGUCAGAUUCAUUUUAGUCCAAAUGGGUGGGGCUUAAUGUGGUAUGGUCAAAGUGGGUGUGGCUUGAUUGGGUGUGGUCAGAUUCAUUUUAGUCAAAAGGGGUGUGGCUUGAUUGGGUGUGGUCAGAUUCAUUUUAGUCCAAGGGGGUGUGGCUAAAUUUGGCGCGGCCUGCAGGGUGGGAUUUGAUUGGUUGGAUGCCAAAGUGGGUGUGGUCGGGAGGGGUGGGGCCUGCAGGGGCGUGUCCACGGGUGUGGCCAGGAGGGGCGGGGCCUGCAGGGGCGCGUCCCCAGGUGUGUCCCCGCCCCCCGCGCAGGUGGUGGUGGCCACCAACAUCGCCGAGACGUCGGUGACCAUCGACGGCAUCGUGUACGUGCUGGACCCGGGGUUCUGCAAGCAGAAGAGCUACAGCGCCCGCACCGGCAUGGAGUCGCUGGUGGUGACACCGUGUUCACGGGUAAUGGUCACCUGUGUGUCACCUGUGUGUCACCUGUGUGUUACCUGAGUGUCACCUGUGUCACCUGUGUGUCACCUGUGUGAUCUCAUUGUCACCCGUUGUCACCUCGCUGUUACACCCCCAUGUCUCCUGAACCGCCCUGUCCCUUGUCCCCACGUGUGACGGGUGCCAGGUCACAGGUGACAGCAGACAGGUCACAGGUGACAAGUGGCAGAUGCCAGGUCCAAUGCUGUGUCCCUAACAUGUCCUAGGCAGGUGCCAGGUGCCAUGUGUCACACCUGUCCCCAGUGCAUUCCUGUCAGGUGCCAGGUGACAGUAAACAAGUGCCAUGUCCCCGGUGCCAUGUGCAAUGUGCCAGGUGUGCUGUACCUGUCCCCAGUGCCAUAUAUAUGGUGCCAGGUGUGUGUGCCUGUACUCGGUACUGGGUGUGUGUA